rnacentral:rRNA from 1 species
GUACGGGGGAGGCAAGCGUUGUUCGGAUUUACUGGGCGUAAAGGGCGCGUAGGCGGCCACCGCAAGUCAGUUGUGAAAUCUCUGGGCUUAACCCCAGAAAGGUCAACUGAUACUGCGGGGCUAGAGUGCAGAAGGGGCAACUGGAAUUCUCGGUGUAGCGGUGAAAUGCGUAGAUAUCGAGAGGAACACCGGUGGCGAAGGCGGGUCUCUGGGCAGUAACUGACGCUGAGGAGCGAAAGCGUGGGGAGCGAACAGG